CAGUAGCCGCGGGAAAACGUAGGGCGCAAGCGUUGUCCGGAAUUAUUGGGCGUAAAGAGCUCGUAGGUGGCUUGCUACGUCCGCUGUGAAAACUCAGGGCUAACCCUGAGCUUGCAGUGGAUACGGGCAGGCUAGAGGUAGGUAGGGGAGAAUGGAAUUCCCGGUGUAGCGGUGAAAUGCGCAGAUAUCGGGAGGAACACCGGUGGCGAAGGCGGUUCUCUGGGCCUUACCUGACACUGAGGAGCGAAAGCGUGGGGAGCGAACAGGAUUAGAGACCCCAGUAGUCCCUGUCUCUUAUACA
rnacentral:rRNA from 1 species